GGAGGGGUGGCAGAGCGGUCGAAUGCGGCGGUCUUGAAAACCGCUGAGGCUUUCGGGUCUCCCUGGGUUCGAAUCCCAGCCCCUCCG
rnacentral:tRNA from 1 species